CCUCGCCCCAUAGUCUGGGAUACCACUUGGAAACAGGUGCUAAUACCGGAUAAGAAAGCAGAUCGCAUGAUCAGCUUUUAAAAGGCGGCGUAAGCUGUCGCUAUGGGGAUGGCCCCGCGGUGCAUUAGCUAGUUGGUAAGGUAAAGGCUUACCAAGGCGAUGAUGCAUAGCCGAGUUGAGAGACUGAUCGGCCACAUUGGNGACUUAGACACGGGCCCAAACUCCACGGGAGGCAGCAGCU
rnacentral:rRNA from 1 species